GAUGAAGAACGUAGCGAAUUGCGAUAAGUAAUGUGAAUUGCAGAAUUCAGUGAAUCAUCGAAUCUUUGAACGCACAUUGCGCCCAUUAGUAUUCUAGUGGGCAUGCCUGUUCGAGCGUCAUUAAUUCCACUUAAGCCCUGCUUAGUGUUGGGAAUCUACUCUAGUGGUGCUACCCUGGAGCUACCCCUGAAAGGGGGCUGGCCCGGUAGCUACCCUGUAGUUCCUCAAAGAUAGUGCGCGGAGUUGCGUGGUCCUCUGAGCUUAGUAACUAUACACCUAGCUUUUGAGUGUCCCGCGGCGCCUGCCGUUUAAACCCCAUCUUUUAAUGGUUGACCUCGGAUCAGGUAGGAAUACCCGCUGAACUUAAGCAUAUCAAUAAGCGGAGGA
rnacentral:misc_RNA from 1 species